GUGUACUUUGGUGGCACAUGUUGUAAAAUUGGAAUGAUUCAGGGAAGAUACAGUACACAGGUCCCUGCAUGAUAAUGGCACACAAAGUUGUGAAGUCUUCCAUGUUUUU
ensembl:snRNA U6 U6 spliceosomal RNA